rnacentral:rRNA from 1 species
UACGUAGGCGGGUUUUUAAGUCAGGGGUGAAAUCCUGGAGCUCAACUCCAGAACUGCCUUUGAUACUGAAGAUCUUGAGUCCGGGAGAGGUGAGUGGAACUGCGAGUGUAGAGGUGAAAUUCGUAGAUAUUCGCAAGAACACCAGUGGCGAAGGCGGCUCACUGGCCCGGUACUGACGCUGAGGCACGAAAGCGUGGGAGCAAACA